GUUGUCCCGGUCCGCCAUGAUGCUCGCGAAGGGGGCUUCCCGUUGAAGAGGGGAGGAUAAUCGGCUGAUCGGCGAUUCCUGCUGGUGGAUCAGAAACCGCACUACCGCUCCGCUGAGCCGAAGAGCCGCCGGUAGCGCAGGCGUAAAGAUGGCGUCGCGGCUCCAUCCGGGAAAUCCACGCAGCACUCCCCCCUCCGCAUCCACGCCUCCGCCGGACACCUCCCUCAUAGCCUGUAGAUUGGGGGUUUCGAGAAGCUGUACGCUAGCAGAAGUGUACACAGAUGGAUGUCGGGAAGCUGAGGAUUUUCUAUAGAAACAGGAAGCGAGAAUCGUCCGACUGUGACAGUUGUCGACUGUUUCUGACUUUGGCAUCAGGUGAGAUCCAACCCUGAAGACGUUGGAUCCUCUGAAUCCCUGCAUCACCCGGCAGACAGGGAAGAACCUGGGAGGGAUGCUGGGAACACCAAGGAUGGAGAAGUGAGGGGAAAAAACUGGCCAACAGAACGGAAUGACGGUGGCUUUUUAUUGUUGAAUGUAACGCCAACAUUGAGCUGCUGUCUGACUUGAGCUGCAGCGAGUGCGGGAAAUUC